AUGUGGGCGGCUGCAGCGGCCGGUGUUGAGGUCGGCCGGGUGCCCGCCGGGUCGGCUCCGCUGCAUGACCGGAGGCUGGUAUGGUUCCACGGCGACGAAGAGAUCGCCAGACUGUUCUUGCAGCAAAUCGACCCGAACUUGCCCAGGGCGAGCGCUGGAUGUCAAAGUGAUCCUAUGCAAUUUGUUCGCCAAAGCUUCCAAUCCAUGUCACUGAACCAAUGCAGAUUGCUCCGAAGCAAGAUCCCGUGCUCGACGGCCGACUGCCACGCCUACAUGUCGCCCCCGGUGCCGGACGCCUACGCGGGAAACUGUGUCGCGCUCUGCAUGGCCUCGCUGAGCAGGUCGGAGCUCGCGGCCGUCAGGGAGGCCAUCGCGGAAGCGAAGCGCGAGCAGCUCCACGACCUCGCCCGGUGGCGCACCAAGUUCGCGGUCAUCCAGCGGGGUCGCCGUGGUUCCCGCGUACGGGCUGGACUUCGGGUUCGGGAGGCCGUGACACACAACAAGCCAGCAUCCCCGGUCGAAGCCUCGAAGAGAUUCCUCCUAAGCUAUGUUGACUCACUUAUGGGCAUCCAGAACAACCCGACCACUGAUCCGGUGAAAGGCAAACAAGUGGUGGACGUGGUGGGGUCUCGGACACCAAUAGUGCAUGCGCCGACAGGACCUACUAGUGUGCCUGCACCUAGAGGGACUCCACCGGCUGAAGGAUGUACUAAGCUGAAUGUGGAUGGAUCCUUCUGCGCCAACACAGGGACGGCCGGGACUGGUAUGAUCCUCCGCAACAGCAUCGACGAGAUCAUCUUCUCCUCUUGUCGAGAAUUGCGGGCGUGUGCAGAACCCCUGGUGGCCGAAUUGCUAGCUUGCAUGGAGGGAAUUAACCUCGCGCUGCAAUGGAUGCAACAACCGAUAGAUGUGGAGAUGGACUGUCUCAUCGCGCUAAACAUGGUCAAGGCUUCAGAGAAAGACAGGUCUCAUUAUUCUAUGCUGGUUGAUUAG
rnacentral:rRNA from 1 species